UUAAAGAAAAAGCAAUAGUUUUAUUAUUUUUACCCUGUUAUGUCUGUUUCCUCAGUAUUUGCUGCAGCUCUGCUUACCCAAGGUUUGGGUAAAACAAGCUUUGGGUUCCCUCUGUCUCACUGGGAGUUGCCCAAUUCAGUUGCAUCUGGUGAAAUUCACCCUGAGACCUUACAGAACUAGCUCCAACUACAUGCGAGCCAUUUGCAGUUCUCUCCAGACACCUGGAGAAUGGGCGACGUUUCUGAGGAUCCGGCGAGCGUGCUUCUAUCAAAACUCAGUCUGUGAAAUUUCUGGGGAAAACCCUUCUGUGUCCUGAAGGGUUCAAACUCUGGCGAGGAUCCAGUUAUCAGGUGCUCACCUGGAUGGUUCCAGCUGCCAAAGGGAAAGACUCUCGUAUCCUUGUCGUCGGGCUCGGUGCUGUCCAAGAAGAUACAGAAACUAAAAAAAUCAUAAGAAGCAAAAUAUGACUGCAGGGAAAAGAAGCUGGAGAGAACAGAAGACUCAUCACGGCGGGACAGCGUGAGGACUGAAAGUGUAAGAAGAUGUGGAGGGAAACAGAGAAUCUGACAGGAGCAGCGAACGCACGAGUGCACGAAUUUUGCUUUUUGCUUGGAUGUAAACUCAGGAGUUGAAAGGAAUUUGGGAGUGAGAAGGGACAUUUCAGAAGGAGAAGAAGAAAAAGAAGUUGUUGUUGUUGCUACAGUCCUGGCAAAAGCUUUUGUUCUAGCUAAUAAAAGAAGUUAGUUUAAAAAACAAAAAGGAAAAAAUGUAGUGUUUUUUUU